AAUAUUACUCUAUUCAUUUAUCUCCCAGCCUACA
rnacentral:miRNA from 1 species